UACGUAGGGUGCAGGCGUUAAUCGGAAUUACUGGGCGUAAAGCGUGCGCAGGCGGUUUCUUAAGUCAGAUGUGAAAGCCCCGGGCUUAACCUGGGAACUGCGUUUGAAACUGGGAGACUAGAGUGUGGCAGAGGGGGGUGGAAUUCCACGUGUAGCAGUGAAAUGCGUAGAUAUGUGGAGGAACACCGAUGGCGAGGGACAGCCCCCUGGGUUAAC
rnacentral:rRNA from 1 species